rnacentral:lncRNA from 1 species
AUCAAAUAUGAUUUACCACUACCUUCUAAUGGGCAGAAGACCAAAGAGAGAGUAUAUGUCAUUGGUUAAAGUGAACAUAUUAAGGAUAAACUCAAAGGGAAGAAUAUCUGUUACCAGUUAAGAUAAACAUAUCAAGGAUAAACUUCUAGGGAAAAAUAGGAAUUACAACCACCGGUUACUGGGAAGAAGACCAGAGGAAGAGAG